UGUGCCCUCUAUGAAACACAUGUAACCAUCUGCCAGGCCUCCCCAGCUGGUAACCGCUUCAGUCCUGCUCACUGAAUGAAUUGUCCAAUGCCUAUUGAUAUGGACCACCGUUGCUAAUGCUGUUGCCCCAAGAAUUAUAAAGUGAAAUAAAGACAGGUCCUUUAUUUGGAGAUGUAAGCCAGGAGAAGAAAGCCACAGACUGAAUCCCCAUCAUUUCCAUGGAGAGCAAAGGAGUCACUCUGUACAGAACGACUACCAUAGCUGGCAUCAGACUCACUAAGCAAAGCAGAAGAAUCUUGAGUUUCUUAGAGAAAGUCAAAUCAAAGAGGAACGGGCACAACCUGGUCAACUAAAUCAGAUGCCAUGUCUGAUGUUGUCCUUUCCUUCUGUCCUGAUGUAUCUACUUCUGGGACUUUCCAGACUUAUUUCAGAUUCCUUCUGGGUAGUACCCAACCACAAACAUCAGUCGUAAGUUAGUAGCCUGAUUAUGCAUUUAUUCAUUGGGUAUCAGUGCCAUUAUUCUUUGAAGAGAUACUUCCAUCCUGCCCUUCUUAGGAAGUCCUUUGACACAUUAGGUAAGUACAGAUAUGUCCCGUCAUCACAGCUUUGUGUGACAGAAAGAACCCAGUCAAGUCUCAGUGUAAAUCCCAGUUCCUAGGACUCUGUUUCAUCACCUGUAAAAUGGGGGUGAUAUGUACCACCUUCCAGCCCCUUCUAUUGGUGCAGGAGGCCUUUCCUUCCCAGACAAGGUAGGCCGGAGACUUCCAGAUGGGUCAAAGUCUCAGAGGCGUCUUAAGCAAGUGAUGAAGCUAAGCCAGUGAAUGCAAACACAGCUUGACAAAUACCAGUACUUUCUUUAAACCACAGUAAUACCCCUAAGAAGGUGUUUGCUCCCAUCAUCCCUAAGCAAAGAUAUUCUUUGGCUUCCUACUACAUACCAAAAUUGAGAGAACUUUUCUAUCCAGUAACAGUAACCACACUGUCAAUAUUUUGAAAUCGGUUUUCAUUAUUAAAUUAGAAAAAGAAAAUGCCUGCCUCUGUCUUAAACCACAAGGGGGCAGGGUUGAUGUGCUUUAUAUAUACUUUUAAGUAGAUUGUGCAUACCUGAUUAUAGGGACAGGCAGAUAAAUACUCUUUAUAAAACCUAAUGUAAAUGGACUUGUAAGCCCUCCAAAUUAAGAAUUACUUAACAUGCUAUAAUUUGCAUGUUAAGUGACAGUUUAUAAAGCUCCUUCGUUGGCAUUAGGUCACCAUGAUAUUUCAGAGCCCACCUUAAUUCAGUGCUUAGCAAAUAAUUUUUACUGCUAGACUGAAAUUCCAAAAAUAGUGCAGUUAUAUGGAGCAUAUUCCUUGUCCAGCUUGCAGUCACGCGUUGAUGUUGAUGGAGGAGAAAUUUUACAAUAGGCAGAGGAACACAUUAGAGGUAGAAAUACAGUAGAAAGGCUAAAUGUGCCUCGUGAUGAAAAUCUAGUGGUGAAAUACCAGAAUAGUAAUCAGGAGAAGACCCAAAACAAAGCUUGAUGAUGUGAAAAAGGAGAAGGACCCAAUAAUCUAAAUAAAUGCUAAUAAUGACUUUUUAAACAUCUCAUCACAGAGAAUCAGCCUACUUCAUGAACUGGCUGAGACAUUUGACACAGCCCUGUGAAUUCACCACUAAUCUGUGCGCUUGUGUUUCUGGGUGGGGAGGGAGUGGGGGGAGGGUGCUGGAGGUUGGGGAUAGAGGUAUGAAAGGAGGGAGGGGCAUCCAUUUUAGGGAUAUGGAACCCAGAGAAGCCCUUAAUUGUCCUUGCACUCAGCCCUGUACCCCCUGUGCUUCUGACUCUUCCCUUCCUCAACUGCCUCUGUCUCUUUAGCAGGUGGAAAGCUUUUGCGUGAAGCACGCAGAAAAUUCCAGGAAUUGUGCAGCUAUAUAGCAGGCCUAUGAGGCAAACCUCUUCAACACAGACACACACCUUCUACUUGGGCUUGAUGGGGUAGCAUAACUAUUGUGCCAAUUUCUGAUAUGUUUCUUCCCCCAAGCCAUAUGAAUGGAGAAAACUAAACUCUGGCAAUGCAGAAGAGCCUUCCACACUCUGCCCAAAGAGACACAGCCUGGUUAAAUACAUUUGAACUCCCUGAAUCCAUCACUAUCACAAGCAGUAUGAUGGCUUUUAAAGCAAGGUCCCUGAACCAGCAGCAGCAUCUCCUUGGGAAAGAUUAACCAGUCAAGGCACACUAAAUCAAACUCUGGGGAUGUGUUUUAACAAACCCUCCAGCGAGUCUGCCGUACAUGUUCGAGAACAAACACUCUUGCCACAUUUAGCCUGUCUAUGACAAAGGCUAGCUAGCUGUCAAAAACCAGACUAGAUUGGGAAGGUUCCCAGGACCAGAUCAUUUGGCAGAGUUGCAGGCUGUGAGGGGUUUGAAGCUAAUGGUGCCAGGUCACCAGCCCAGGACUAGAAAAAAUGCAAAAUGGCAUGUUCAGGGUUCUCUGGAUCUAUGAUAUUGUGUGACAAGUGGCAAGCAAACUUGGCAUUUUCUAAACGGGUGAUGAUGUAACAGAGUCAUAACCUGUUUUCCUGGAUCUCUUGCCAGAUUUCUAGGGCUUCAACAUGUAAAAUGUGAAGUACUGUGGAUUUCAUACCCCUACACUGAGUAGCAUACCUCAUGCUCUCUCUUAUAUGAACUGACAAGCACUGUAACUCUCACAUGCUGCAGAUAUUCAUACAGAGAAAAUUCUUCAUCAUUAGUUCUGGUACUAAAAAUGAGGCUGUACCGAGAAAACAAACAGGGACUUGCAUUUUCUCAACCCAAACAUUUUGCCAGAUGCCAUGUUUUGUGUUAAGAGGAAUUAAUAAGAAAAAUCUUACAAACCUAGGUGCACCUGUUUUAUAUAUUCAAUCAAUGAGGCUUUGUUUUUAUUCCAGAAGAAUGGAAGCUUCUCCUCAUGAGGAUAUUUACAGCACGACAGCUCCAAUGUAAUUUCAAAACACUGGGCCCAGAUGUAGUUGUAAUCUUGCAUUCCACCUAAACACAAGCAUAUUUAAUUUUUUAAGGUCUAAAAUUGGAACGGAGUCAAGUAUCCUGUACCUUGGGGACAAAUGAAUCCGUUGCAAAGAAAGUACAUUUAAACAGGAAAAGAUGAAUUUGACAGAUUAGCAUAUAAAGUCACGGCCUGCCAUUUUAUUACCCAGGCAUGAACAGGCAAUCCUAAAUGUUCCCAUAUGGGUAACUGGAUUAGAGCUAAGGUUCAACUGUGCAUCAAAAUCAACUGAGGGGCAGGGGAAGGGUCAGCCUUUUUUUUCCCCCCGAUCAUACAUUACAAAAA